GGAUGCGAUCAUACCAGCAUUAAUGCACCAUGUCCCAGGAGAACUCUGUAGCUAAGCGUGCUUGGGCGAGAGUAGUACUUAGGUGGGUGACCUCCUGGGAAGUCCUCGUGUUGCAUCCC
rfam:Arabidopsis thaliana chromosome 5, complete sequence.